UACGUAGGUGGCAAGCGUUGUCCGGAUUUAUUGGGUUUAAAGGGUGCGUAGGCGGCCUAUUAAGUCAGUUCUGAAAUAUCCCGGCUUAACCGGGAGGGUGGGAUUGAUACUGAUGGGCUUGAGUGGAAUCGAGGUAGGCGGAAUUGACGGUGUAGCGGUGAAAUGCUUAGAUAUCGUUAAUAACACCGAUAGUGUAGACAGCUUACUAGACUUCAACUGACGCUGAGGCACGAAAGUGUGGGGAUCAAACAGG
rnacentral:rRNA from 1 species